CCUACGGGUGGCUGCAGUGGGGAAUAUUGGACAAUGGGCGCAAGCCUGAUCCAGCAAUGCCGCGUGUGUGAAGAAGGCCUGCGGGUUGUAAAGCACUUUAAGCUGGAAAGAAGGGGUGAAAGUUAAUACCUUUCAUCAUUGACGUUACCUGCAGAAUAAGCACCUGCUAACUCCGUUCCAGCAGCCGCGGUAAUACGGAGGGUGCGAGCGUUUCUCGGAAUUAGCGUGCGUAAAGCGCGCAGUCGCGGUUGAAAGCCCUGGGCUUAACCUGGGAACUGCGGUGGAUACUGUCGGGCUAGAGUGUGGUAGAGGGGAGUGGAAUUUCCGGUGUAGCAGUGAAAUGCGUAGAGAUCGGAAGGAACACCAGUGGCGAAGGCGGCUCCCUGGACUAACACUGACGCUGAGGUGCGAAAGCGUGGGGAGCAAACAGGAUUAGAUACCCCUGUAGUC
rnacentral:rRNA from 1 species